ACUAACAGGAUUCCCCGAGUAAUGGCGAAUGAAACGGGAAAAGCCCAAAUUUGAAAUCUCCUAGUUCACACUAGGCGAGUUGUAAUUUGUAGAAGGUCUCCAUCUGAACUGUGUUUGCYMAAGUCCAUUGGAACAUGGCGGGCCUUCGGGCCCUCAAGUCACAGAGGGUGAAAACCCCGUUCUUGGCAUUCUACUAGUUCUCUUGUAUGGUUCCUUCAAAGAGUCGGAUUGUUUGGGAAUGCAAUCCAAAAGGGGUGGUAAAUUCCAUCCAAGGCUAAAUAUCAGCAAGAGACCGAUAGCGAACAAGUACCGUGAGGGAAAGAUGAAAAGAACUCUGAAGAGAGAGUUCAACAGUACGUGAAAUUGCUGAAAGGGAAACGUUUGAAACGAUUGUUGCCUUUGGUUUCGGCCUUGGGCGAGUCAGCAGCAGUUUUAAGCGGUAAAGAAGCGCUUACAGAAGGUAGUUUUCUUCGGGAAAUGUUAUAGCUGUAAGYGGCUGUGCCGCCUAGGACUGAGGAUCGCUUUUGGGUGCCGCGUCGAGGGAUUUUGGGCGACUAGCGCCAAGGCCUUGGGUUCUUCUCAAGACUUGGUGCUAGCCGUUCAGGACGACCNACCACGCGGCCCCAGAAUAGGUUGCUGACAAAAUGGUUUUAAACGACCCGUCUUGAAACACGGACCAAGGAGUGCAACAAACUUGCMAGUCGUAGGGUGACAAACCUGAAGGCGCAAUGAAAAGUGAAAAAAAUACCMCCCGGCAAAACGGAACU
rnacentral:rRNA from 1 species